AACGAACGCUGGCGGCGUGCCUAACACAUGCAAGUCGAACGCGAAAGGGGGCAACCCCCGGUAGCGUGGCAGACGGGUGAGUAACACGUGGGUAACCUACCCGGAGGUGGGGGAUAACCCUUCGAAAGGAGGGCUAAUACCGCAUGACAUCGCGAGGACCUCGGUCUUCGCGAUCAAAGCUGGCCUCUGUUUACAAGCUAGCGCCACCGGAGGGGCCCGCGCCCCAUUAGCUAGUUGGUGAGGUAACGGCUCACCAAGGCAACGAUGGGUAGCCGGCCUGAGAGGGCGACCGGCCACACUGGAACUGCGACACGGUCCAGACUCCUACGGGAGGCAGCAGUGAGGAAUCUUGCGCAAUGGGCGAAAGCCUGACGCAGCGACGCCGCGUGAAGGAUGAAGGUCUUCGGAUUGUAAACUUCUGUCGAGUGGGACGAAUGCCAUGGGGACGAAUAAUCCUCGUGGUUGACGGUACCGCUGGAGGAAGCCCCGGCUAACUCCGUGCCAGCCGCCGCCGUAAAAC
rnacentral:rRNA from 1 species